rnacentral:lncRNA from 1 species
UGUCGCACUCACAUGUGUGUGAUGCCCCUCGUCUCACCUGUACCCUCUGCGCCUCUCUACAGUGUGUGUUAUGCUCUCUCGUCUCACCUGUACCCCUCUGUCGCUCUCUACAGUGGUGUGAUGCUCUCUCUCGUCCACCUGUACCCCUCUGUCGCACUCUACGUGUGUGUGAUGCUCUCUCGUCUCACCUGUACCCCUCUGUCGCUCUCUACAGUGUGUGUGAUUCCCCGUCUCACCUGUACCCCUCUGUCGCACUCUACAGUGUGUGUGAUGCUCUCUCGCGUCUCACCUGUACCCCUCUGUCGCUCUCUACAGUGUGUGUGAUUCCCCCUCGUCUCACCUGUACCCCUCUGUCGCACCUACAGUGUGUGUGAUGUCCCCCUCGUCUCACCUGUACCCCUCUGUGCACUCUACUGUGUGUGAUCCCCCUCGUCUCAC